AUUAAUGUCAAUUAAUUAAAAUAAUCAAGAUAAACUUAAAAGGGGAUUAGGGUUUGAGAGUUGUGACCAUUCAUCUCACGUUCUUCUUUCUCCUCUUCCUCCUUGCACUCACGAAGCCGCGGCGGAGGAGACAGAGACGGUGUGGUGGUUUCCAUUCUCGGAUUCUCUAAGCGACCGGCAUUCUUCUCCCUCGCUCAUCUUUCUCCGAUACUCUCAGUUCCCUUUCUCGAUCUUGAACUCUCUUCGCCGUUCGUUCUCGCCCCUACUUAUGGAUUCAACAUGAUGAUGAGGUUGAUGAUUCUCUGCAGUUGCGAUGAAGAUGAUUUGGUUGCGAUUCUCAGAGUUGGACAACGAUCGAUGAUUUGAUGGAUAUCGAAUCUUGAUUGAAGAUGGUGAAGAAACGUUGACGCUGGAGUCGUUGUCGAUGGAGUUCUAUGGAGUUUUGUCGAUGGUUGAUGGUGAGGAUGUAGGUUGAAGAGAGAAUGAAGAUUUGAUGACGGUGGAGAUUGUAGCGUUCUUGGUGACGAACAGAUGACGAAUGAUGGUGGUGAUAUGAAGAAUUGAUUCUUCUGACUUCGUGAAUCUGGUUUUUGAUUGUUGUUUCUUUUGUUUGCAGAUUGAAGGAUGGAGAGAGCUGAAGGUGGAUGGUUGCAGAUCGUUGAUUCAGUGUGAAGAUGAAGAAGGUUAUGGUGAUGAUGAAAGAGUAGAGAAGAAGAUCGAUUUUGUGGAGUUUCCGCAGAGGUUGAAGAUUGGUGGUUGAUGAAGUGAAGAGAGGUAGAAGAAGGGAGCCAGAUGAAUGUUGAAGUCUGAAGGUGGAGGAAAGUGGCGUGUGAAAUGGUGGUCGAAGGUGAUGCGUGCGGAGUGUGAAAAAGAAGAGAGAGUCCGAGAUUAAAGGGUUGUAUGUUGAUUCAGAUUGGCAUAGCACGACGAAUCGAAUGCUGCGGUUUAUUGUUUUGGGAAUCGGUAGCUUAAAGAAGUGGACUGGCUUUAUUAACAGUGAAGUAAUUUGAAUGUAGUGUGGGAGCUGUUUGGAUUUUGAACUGGAUGUGUGUAUUGCUUUUUUCAUGCGCUGAGUUAGGACAUUCUUGUAGAAUCACAACGUGAAUGGCUUUGUACAAGUCGGGCGGCUAGUGUGAAUUAUCGGCUGCUUUAAUGCCGUCGGCGAUUUUCCUUCUGGUACAGGAGCAAGAGGAUAUUGAACAUGAAGCCCAUGGUUUGAUGUAUUAAGAUAUGGAGCAAAGCUGCUCAUGAUGUAGCUCAGGAUUAAGAUAGUUUGCAAUGUGAUGUAGACUUAACUGAACCUUGUAACAGAUUGGACUUGGUCUUGUAAUAAAAGUUGUAUUUUUGAUGGAUUGUAGAAUUCUUUUCUCUUUUUCUUUGUAAAAUAACAGUGUGAAAUUAGGAUGCAGCUGAAUGAGACCAUAGAACUUAAUGUAAUUUGCUGAUUGUAUCUCCC